GGGGAAUAUUGGACAAUGGGCGCAAGCCUGAUCCAGCCAUGCCGCGUGAGUGAUGAAGGUCUUCGGAUUGUAAAACUCUUUCGCCGGGGAAGAUAAUGACGGUACCCGGAGAAGAAGCUCCGGCUAACUUCGUGCCAGCAGCCGCGGUAAUACGAAGGGAGCUAGCGUUGUUCGGAAUUACUGGGCGUAAAGCGCACGUAGGCGGAUUUUUAAGUCAGGGGUGAAAUCCCAAGGCUCAACCUUGGAACUGCCUUUGAUACUGGAAGUCUCGAGAUCGGGAGAGGUGAGUAGAAUUCCUAGUGUAGAGGUGAAAUUCGUAGAUAUUAGGAAGAACACCAGUGGCGAAGGCGGCUCACUGGCCCGAUACUGACGCUGAGGUGCGAAAGCGUGGGGAGCAAAC
rnacentral:rRNA from 1 species